rnacentral:lncRNA from 1 species
UGGCAGGCACCUGUCUGAAGCCCUCCUUAAGAGGCAAUGUUUGUGGAUGUUUAAUUUUGUGCCAAGCAGGUAAAGUCCUCUUAAGAGGCAAUUGGAAGAUAAAAGGGAUGUGCAAUCCAUCCCCUGCUAUUCAGUUGUGUCAUUCACUUUGCUCACACCAUGUGUUGAUGCAUUGUGAAUAAGAACCCAAGAUCUUGUUGUGUCAGUCAUGUGGAGAAGAGUUCC